rnacentral:sRNA from 1 species
AGAUGGCUGUCCACUUCUUCCCUAUGUACAUCCACCUCCAAUCUGUGGCUUGGUCCAAAAGGAUGAGCUUUCCUCAUAGAGGAGACCCCUCUUGGGUCAAGGGUGUGAGUAGCUGUGCUCCCACAUGAGAACCUCCAACAAGCUCACAAGGUCCACUUAGGAGAGCAUAAAGUAAUCAAGCUUUCCAGACACAUCCAAAUGAAGUCAUUCACAGGGAAGUCUUUCAUU